AAUCCGUGAUGUGGGCAGCAUCUCAACAGGUCCUUAAACCUCUCCCAUGCAUUGUACAUGCUUUCAUCAUCAAACUACACAAAAGAAGAUAUGUCAUUUCUAAGUUU
rfam:Ricinus communis cultivar Hale ctg_1100012362730, whole genome shotgun sequence.